GCGGGAGUGGAGGCGAGAUAUAGGAAUUUUGAGAGUCGCCGGCUAUGGCGGAUUCAUUCGUGCUUUGACCUUGCAAACAUUCGAGAAAUUUUGUGAGCAAUAAAUUUCAAGUAGUUCGAACUGAAAAGUUCAAGCGGCUGAUGAAGGUGAGCAGGGAGUCGACGUUUCGCUUUGAAGCCAGUUUUGAUUCACCAGAUGCACAAUUGGAAAUAAAGAAUGUCUUAGCAUUCGAUGCUCCCAUUGGGCUGCUCACGCUAACCUGUGCGCAUCAUGUGAUGAAGGUGAUUGUAGGUGAUUGCACCGUCCACUGUGCAAUCCCCUAUUAUCAUUUCGUCAUAUUUAUUAUUGGACAAAUAUUGUGACGAAGAUCAAGAUGGCUUGAAGAAGUAACGCUGCGGUCUACUGUAGCUUGAAGUGGAAACAUUGAAAUUGCAACUUAAUAUUAUUGUGCACCUAUAUCUUUGAGGUGCGGUAUAUCAGUCAACUCCAUCUUGAUCCAACAGACAUUCGUAUAUUGCAUGUUUUAGGAUUUUUUUCCCAUUCAUAGAUAAGUUUUGAUAUCCCUCUAGAAAUGCCUUGAUCCAAAGGAACUUCGAAGAGCUGUCUUCUCCAAUAAAAGGUAUUCUUGCGCGAAUAGUAACACUAAGAUGUAUACUUACAGGCUAUUUAUAUUAGAUGCGCUCUGAUCAUUGAACUUGGAUCACUUGUUUUUUCAAAUUGUUUAGUUGCUCAUCAUCUCAGGCACAUCAUUUCGUAAUUCUAAGGAGAGAAUUGUAUCUUCCGUAAAUGUCUUAAAGGCUACGGCCAAGCCGUUGGCGGACGACAAUGACGAAAUUAAUUAGCCACCAAGGAAACCAGCCUAACUUUUAGGGAUGAGCAAGUUGCGGACACCAACCUCGUUCAAUCUGAAAACAACUAAUUACUCUGAGCUUCUUUCAGCGCCAACUCUCGCAAGUCACUAGCGAAAUUUUUUGCGAGUGAUCUAUGAUUGGAUUUUAAUAGGGCUCUGUGGAUACAUUGAGAUCGCCGAUGAUCUUUCUAGCUGUUUACUUUCCAAGCGCAGCUAUACAACCAACUGUCUGGGGUCCGUCAACAUCACAGCUUGCCCAUCUAUCUUGAAGCAACUGUUGUUUUCAAAGCAUCAAUAAUCAACAUUUCACUGACUGCUUUGAGAUGGCGCUGUCGAUAAAGCUGAGGAGCUUUACGAACGAUGGAUGAGAAUGCAGACAAAUAAAGUGACCUGGUAAGGAUGGACUCACGUCCAAUGGCGGCGCUGAAUAUAGAGGAAUAAAGCGGACUUUUAUGAGGACCGUUUUUUCGUCAUUGAAGUAAACUCAUACCCAAAAUAUGCGGCUAAUAUACUAUUCCUUGAGGAGCAUGUCUCAAAAUCUUAAUUUGCAUAUCUGGUGUCGUGCUGGUCGAUGCAUUGUUGCGUAGUGCUUCAACCAAUAGCGCGACAGCUAAAUCAUAUCUGUGGAGUCGAGAGUGCUCGGAACUCCAGUGUUGUAGUUCAUAUUACCUGGUUCUUAUUUUCACUUGUGUUUUUGAUGGCCCUCAAAGAUAUCCUUUUAUUGUGAUUAUACAGAAAAAAUGGGCCAUGUCAGCAACAAAUUUUGGCCGAGUGCAUCACAGGGUUGGAGGCACGAUCUGAAGCUUAUGUAGCAAUCUCUUAAUUAUCUCUUCCAACCAGCUGAACUCGAUGAUAUUUUUACCCUAGGUGGUAUGCAUACCAAUCAAUUAUGCACAGCAUCUUUCUACAUUCCCAGCUUUUCAGAGAAGAUUGAUGGUGGAACGACGAAUACAUGCGUACAUCAAGGUGGUAUCUUCCCAGUGUUCACGAAGUUACGAUUAGCAAUCUUUACUUCAAAUGCCAUUCCAGUCGAUGGAUUGUGGAAAAGAAGAUACUGGCUUUGACUGGCUGAAAAUCUGACUGAUGACCAACAUCGUUCUAGUACCUGGAUGUUUGAGGUGGAAAAUAAUUGUGUAGGGAAGAAUAAUAGAUGGAUGCGAUGGAGAAUGGAUGAUCUCGCCCACAUGCUCGAGAAUGCUAGUGUAUGAUCAGGACACAGCUAACAUGUUGAGAUCCGAUCAGCUCUAAAACUUGAUUAGGGGAUAAACUUCGCCUACAAGCAUCCAAAAAUUCCAAAUGAUACGAAAUUGACUGUGCAAGUGAUACGGAAGCCAUUAUGAUUUAGCGAAUGGAUACCUAUAUCCUGGUCCAGGUCAGAAGAGGUGGUUCUUCUGGAAACCCACCUAGGCUACAAGCUUCACAAUACACUGGAUUGGGAAAAAGCAUAAACCGCCCACCGUCUCCACACAUGCCUGUCCUUGGUUUAAGAUGGUCUAUCUUACUAUCAUUAUUGGCUCAGACAACAGUAGACUUGCGCAUUGAGAGCCAGUAGGAACUUUUUCAGUUUGAAACUAUAUUAGGGACAAUUGGGCUACACCUCGUCGAGCAGGACAUGGCACAUCUGAGCGCCGGGUACGUCGUGGCCAUGUAAGUAGUACACUAUUGUUCAAAGUCUCCCCACCAUAUCAGUUUGUACAACUAUAUGAUACAGAAAGGACACACUACGAGUUGAAUAGGACUGAGGUCUGACAAUUGCCUCAAUAAAUUAUGAGAUUCAGUAAAUCGUAAAAAAUUCCAUGAAGAAUUUUGU